AGAGCUCAGAGUAGGCGA
rnacentral:snRNA from 1 species